UGUGAUCAGUAAAAGGUAAUUUAGUCU
rnacentral:piRNA from 1 species